rnacentral:rRNA from 1 species
GACGAACGCUGGCGGCGUGCUUAACACAUGCAAGUCGAACGGAAAGGCCCUGCUUUUGUGGGGUGCUCGAGUGGCGAACGGGUGAGUAACACGUGAGUAACCUGCUCUUGACUUUGGGAUAACUUCAGGAAACUGGGGCUAAUACCGGAUAGGAGCUCCUGUUGCAUGGAGGGGGUUGGAAAGUUUCGGCGGUUGGGGAUGGACUGGCGGCUUAUCAGCUUGUUGGUGGGGUAGUGGCUUACCAAGGAUUUGACGGGUAGCCGGCCUGAGAGGGUGACCGGCCACAAUGGGCCUACGGUACGGCCCAGACUGCAACGGGGGGCAGCAGUGGGAAGUAUUGCACAAUGGGCGGAAGCCUGAUGCAGCGGCGCCGCGUGCGGGAUGACGUCCUUCUGGUUAUGAACCGCUUUCGGCUGUGACGAAGCGUGAGUGACGGUAAUGGGUAAAGAAGCACCGGCUAACUACGUG